AGCGAACGCUGGCGGCAGGCCUAACACAUGCAAGUCGAACGGAUCCUUCGGGAUUAGUGGCGGACGGGUGAGUAACACGUGGGAACGUGCCCUUUGGUUCGGAACAACUCAGGGAAACUUGAGCUAAUACCGGAUGUGCCCUUCGGGGGAAAGAUUUAUCGCCAUUGGAGCGGCCCGCGUCUGAUUAGCUAGUUGGUGAGGUAACGGCCCACCAAGGCGACGAUCAGUAGCUGGUCUGAGAGGAUGAUCAGCCACACUGGAACUGAGACACGGCCCAGACUCCUACGGGAGGCAGCAGUGGGGAAUCUUGCGCAAUGGGCGAAAGCCUGACGCAGCCAUGCCGCGUGAAUGAUGAAGGUCUUAGGAUUGUAAAAUUCUUUCAGCGGGGACGAUAAUGACGGUACCCGCAGAAGAAGCUCCGGCUAACUUCGUG
rnacentral:rRNA from 1 species